rnacentral:rRNA from 1 species
UAGGGAAUCUUCCGCAAUGGGCGAAAGCCUGACGGAGCAACGCCGCGUGAGUGAUGAAGGUCUUCGGAUCGUAAAACUCUGUUAUUAGGGAAGAACAAAUGUGUAAGUAACUAUGCACGUCUUGACGGUACCUAAUCAGAAAGCCACGGCUAACUACGUGCCAGCAGCCGCGGUAAUACGUAGGUGGCAAGCGUUAUCCGGAAUUAUUGGGCGUAAAGCGCGCGUAGGCGGUUUUUUAAGUCUGAUGUGAAAGCCCACGGCUCAACCGUGGAGGGUCAUUGGAAACUGGAAAACUUGAGUGCAGAAGAGGAAAGUGGAAUUCCAUGUGUAGCGGUGAAAUGCGCAGGGAUAUGGAGGAACACCAGUGGCGAAGGAGACUUUCUGGUCUGUAACUGACGCUGAUGUGCGAAAGCGUGGGGAUCAAACAGG